rnacentral:lncRNA from 1 species
AGGGAAGUUUUCAGUCCAAUUGCGUUAUUUUGUUUCUUAUUAUUUAUUUAUUUAUCUUAUUUUAUUUGCGUUAUAGUGUUUUCUGACAUUGGGGACAAUGUCAAGUUUAAGUGUGGGGGUAGAAAUCUCUAGAAUUUCAUUUGUUUUUGUGUUGUUGCUUUUUGUUUUCUUUAAAAAAAUAAAAAAAAAAAAAAAAAUUCGGAAAAUUUAAAAAUCCAAAAAUAUUUUCUUGUUUCCCUUAUUGUUUUGAAUUAGAUUUUUGUUAGUUUCCCGACCCAAUGAUAUAAUUGGAUCAAAUUUG